rnacentral:rRNA from 1 species
UACGUAGGGGGCAAGCGUUGUCCGGAUUUAUUGGGCGUAAAGAGCGUGUAGGCGGUUUGGUAGGUCCGCUGUGAAACUCGAGGCUCAACCUCGAGACGCCGGUGGAAACCAUCAGGCUAGAGUCCGGAAGAGGAGAGUGGAAUUCCUGGUGUAGCGGUGAAAUGCGCAGAUAUCAGGAAGAACACCCGUGGCUAAGGCGGCUCUCUAGUACGGUACUGACGCUGAGACGCGAAAGCGUGGGGAGCGAACAGG